GUGGAGGGUGGAGAUCUCGAAGACCGGAGGCGGUGGAGGGGGAGAGGUCGUCGCCCGGGGCCUGGUUCGCGUCUUCCGUGGCAGGUGCACCCAGGGUCAGUGGUGUCCCGGCGCCAGGGUGAAGGACAUCUGGGAAGAUCGUGUCCUGGGUGCACCGGGCCUCAGACUGCUGAG